AGUGAACGCUGGCGGUAGGCCUAACACAUGCAAGUCGAACGGCAGCACAGUAAGAGCUUGCUCUUACGGGUGGCGAGUGGCGGACGGGUGAGGAAUACAUCGGAAUCUACUUUUUCGUGGGGGUUAAGGAAGGGAAAUUUAGGCUAGAACGGAAUCCGCCUUCGGGUGGAAGGAGGGGGACCUUGGAACCUGGCGGGUUUGAAUAAGCGAUGUCGGAUUUGCUAGGUGGCGGGGUAAAGGCCCACCAAGGCGACGAUCCGUAGCUGGUCUGAGAGGAUGAUCAGCCACACUGGAACUGAGACACGGUCCAGACUCCUACGGGAGGCAGCAGUGGGGAAUAUUGGACAAUGGGCGCAAGCCUGAUCCAGCCAUACCGCGUGGGUGAAGAAGGCCUUCGGGUUGUAAAGCCCUUUUGUUGGGAAAGAAAAGCAGCAGGUUAAUACCCCGCUGUUCUGACGGUACCCAAAGAAUAAGCACCGGCUAACUUCGUG
rnacentral:rRNA from 1 species